GAAGAAGGAAAAGCUCUCAAAGUUCAGCGCCCAGUGUAUUAUUUGUCUGAAGUCUUGACUCCAUCCAAGCAGAGAUAUCCUCAUUAUCAGAAGCUUGUGUAUGGAAUAUACAUGACCACAAAGAAGGUUGCUCAUUAUUUUUCUGAUCAUUCCAUCACAGUCGUCAGCGACGCUCCACUAUCAGAGAUUUUGCACAACAGAGAUGCAACUGGUCGAGUGGCCAAAUGGGCGAUUGAACUUCUUCCCCUUGAUAUCAAGUUUGAGGCAAAGAAAGCCAUUAAGUCCCAGGCAAUAGCAGAUUUCCUCGCCGAGUGGAUUGAAUAG
rnacentral:rRNA from 1 species